CCACAAGCGAAAUGGUGGAAACUAUUGGUGGAAAGAUUCAUGCCUUCAUUGAAAGUGUCAAGUAUGGCUGUGUCGUGUUAUCGUGUAUGUUCGUGAAUCGUGAUAACGGUGAAUCGUGAUAACGGUAUAACUAACUGAUAACUAAAUUUACAUGAGUUAACAUAGUUAUGCUUUCCAACUGUAGCACUUGACUUGAUCAAGCAGUUAACUGUCGAGUUUGCCUUGGAGGAUGUGACGUCUUUUGCUUCUGCCAGUCAUAUUACUUCUAAUCAUUUCAAGCAACAUGUUAUACCCAUCAUACCUCCACAUGAAAGGACUGCUCUUACAUCCCACGAAAGACUGGCUUCUGCCAGUCAUAUUACUUCUAAUCAUUUCAAGCAACAUGUUAUACCCAUCAUACUCCACAUGAAAGGACUGCUCUUACAUCCCACGAAAGACUCCCCAGUUGGAGUGAACAAAACUCGAUCUAGGAAAUGAUAUCCAAUCAAUGAGGACAUCUCAAAGGAACAGAGAUUCAGGAUUAUAUUCAGUAUUAUAUCAUGCUCGCGAUCAGUAUGCUGUCGACCUUGAAGUUACUUAUAACAGCUUGGGAGUCGGUGGAACAAAAAUAAGAACGACAGCUACGUAGCCCCACGUGAGGUUAUGCCUGUCAAGUAAUCAAUGUCAUUUAAGCUCGACUCUAUCUUGGCCUUUUUCUUUUGACUUACGGUCGACAAUCAAAAAGGCGUGCCUUGUUUUUCGGAAAAAAUAGUAUGGACAGCGUGCCCUGGUCAGUUAAUUGAGCCUGGCGUCAUCCAACACUCGAGGGCAGCAGAAGGACGAUCCACAGCUCCCCGGCCGAAUUGCACUGGAGCGAGUCGACGAAGUAGCCAGCAUCCUUCUGAACUCAAUUCAAAGUCUUUUCGAUGUCCAACUUUGCUAAUGGCGGGUCCGCGAUUGCUGUCGCUUCAUGAUUAGAAUCAAACUUGUGGUUUCAAGGCGACCGAAAAGAAACAACACUGGGCGGUGUUAAGCGAUAGAUGUUUUUUUUUUCGUAACAACUUCUGGAGGCCUAUUGCAUUCUUCAAAGCCUUCUUAUGAUUUCUGUCAAAUCAAGAAGGGGGACCAUCGGCAUUCAGCUUUCUACGUUGGAAAUAUGUUCCGCCAGUUUUCUGUUUCUUCCGGCUCUCUACUACGGAUGUUUUUAUUCGAUGCUGGCGGUCAAUUCUUUCAACCCGGAACUUUCGUCGUUUAAUAACUCAACAUUGUCGUGGCGCAUUCACCCCGGGCAAGUUUGGAUGGCCAUUUUCUCGUCAAUGAUGCGUUUUAGAACAUACAAAUCGUGUUGAUAUUUUGCGAUGCUGUGUAGAUGAGUCAAAUGAAUACAUGUGUAUUUACGAA
rnacentral:misc_RNA from 1 species